UACGUACGAGGCAAGCGUUAUCCGGAAUUACUGGGCGUAAAGAGCUCGUAGGCGGUUUGUCGCGUCUGCCGUGAAAGUCCGGGGCUCAACUCCGGAUCUGCGGUGGGUACGGGCAGACUAGAGUGAUGUAGGGGAGACUGGAAUUCCUGGUGUAGCGGUGAAAUGCGCAGAUAUCAGGAGGAACACCGAUGGCGAAGGCAGGUCUCUGGGCAUUAACUGACGCUGAGGAGCGAAAGCAUGGGGAGCGAACAGG
rnacentral:rRNA from 1 species